rnacentral:lncRNA from 1 species
UUACAGAUGAAGGAAUGUUUUAUAGUAAUUUAAUUGGCUCUUAUAGCUGAAUUAUUUCUUGGUUAGAAGUUUGGGCAUAUAACCAGAUUAAAAUGAAGGAACCUCCCAUUGUUUUCAUAGCACCGCUCAGCUGUCCUUGUAAACAGUGAACACACGCUUUCCAGUUCUAGUAAUCCUGGGUGUUUAUCAUGUUCAGAGAAACUCAAGCUAUUGCAUGAUUAGCCCCCUGUUUGGCAAGGGAACCCCAUACAAAGGAGACACCAAGCCUGCACCGCCCCUUCAUCCUGGGUCGCCUGUGGUUGUAACUCAGCAUGUUUCGCAGAGUAGAUCUGUCGUGACUUUGCUUUUGGGUCCUAUGUCAUUGGUUUCUGAUGCUUCUAUACACAUGCACACAAAUGGAGAAAACAGAACCUGUGGCUGCUGCAUUGCCCUAGACUAUAACAUAUGCCUACUUUUCUCAAAUGCUUCAUUUCUGGUUUCUCUUAGUUCUUCUCUAACAUAGUACUUUCUUUCCAGCAAAAGCAAAAUGUGUUUUCAGAUUUGUUACUUUAGUAAAUUAUCUCUACCAAUAAAAAAUCGU